CAGCGAGAUCUUGCCGGCCGGCGGAGAGUGGAUGCAACAAACAAGACGCCGUAACUCGUUGAAUCAGAUCCGAGAAGUUAGAAACCUUGUUCGCCAUUUCUCCUCUCUUCUUCUUCUUGCAAAAAUCGCCGCCGCUCUUACUGCAAAACGCCGUUCAAGUUACCAGAAAUUGUUGAAAGUCAACAACGAGUCAAACCUCCGGAAAGUAAUAGAAGCUUUAUUACCUGCGGGAAUGGUGAUUGUUAUUCUCAGAUUUGAGAGCGAAUCUCGGAGGAUCUCGAUUGAAUUGAACAGAGUACCAGUAGUCAAUGUCUUUGGGCUCAGUUUCUAAGCUCUCUCGCUCACUCUUUUUCUUUUUGCUGCACAAUGAAGAAAAACCAACUAAACGUCACCGGAAUAAUUAAUCUCCGGCCGACGACGACAAUAGACGGAGAUUUCUGAUUAUUUCUAUCCUAAUCUCUGAGAGUGAUAGAGUCAGUGACUCAGUGUGGGGAGAAGAAGAGCAAUAAGAACUGAAUCAUAAUUACCGAAUUAACCCUUUUUAGUUUUAUGUUUUGACCCCUGACUUUUAAAAAAAUUGUAAUCGAUGUGACGUGUAAAAAAGCUUAACCUC